rnacentral:rRNA from 1 species
UUCUAAGGGCGGUGAAGUCAGACCGGAAGGACUGGUGGAGCGCUUAGAAGUGAGAAUGCCGGUAUGAGUAGCGAAAGAAGGGUGAGAAUCCCUUCCACCGAAUAUCUAAGGUUUCCUGAGGAAGGCUCGUCCGCUCAGGGUUAGUCGGGACCUAAGCCGAGGCCGAUAGGCGUAGGCGAUGGACAACAGGUAGAGAUUCCUGUACCAGUGCUAAUUGUUUAACCGAUGGGGUGACACAGAAGGAUAGGGAAUCGCACGAAUGGAAAUGUGCGUCCAAGCAGUGAGUGUGAGAAGUAGGCAAAUCCGCUUCUCGCGAAGCAUGAGCUGUGAUGGGGAAGGAAAUUAAGUACGGAAGUUCCUGAUUUCACGCUGUCAAGAAAAGCCUCUAGGAAGAGUAGUACUGCCCGUACCGCAAACCGACACAGGUAGAUGAGGAGAGAAUCCUAAGGUGAGCGAGAGAACUCUCGUUAAGGAACUCGGCAAAAUGACCCCGUAACUUCGGGAGAAGGGGUGCUCUAUUAGGGUGCAAGCCCGAGAGAGCCGCAGUGAAUAGGCCCAGGCGACUGUUUAGCAAAAACACAGGUCUCUGCAAAACCGUAAGGUGACGUAUAGGGGCUGACGCCUGCCCGGUGCUGGAAGGUUAAGAGGAGUGCUUAGCUUCGGCGAAGGUACGAAUUGAAGCCCCAGUAAACGGCGGCCGUAACUAUAACGGUCCUAAGGUAGCGAAAUUCCUUGUCGGGUAAGUUCCGACCCGCACGAAAGGCGCAACGAUCUGGGCACUGUCUCAACGAGAGACUCGGUGAAAUUAUAGUACCUGUGAAGAUGCAGGUUACCCGCGACAGGACGGAAAGACCCC